rnacentral:lncRNA from 1 species
AUGGAUAGAAGAGGGAGGACUCCAAUUCCUGAGGACCCUGUGAAAAGCAAUAAACCACCACUGGUGGAAAAAGAUGACCUGGAGUCACCGGAUGAAACUAGGAAGUUGGAGAUUUCUGAAGCCGUUAAAGAGCCUCAGUCCAGCAAUGAUGGUGUGCCAGUGAAUGCAGACGAUGUUGCUGAUGGGAAAGGAAAAUGACUGCCAUUAAAGACACACAAACAUAGCUACACACACACAAGCAUGCAUGCACCUGCACACAGAUGUUCAUAUACAACAAUGUUCAGAUAAAGUUCAAUAAAGUUCUUGUUGUUCAAUGGCAAAAUCCUGUGUUUUCUUUCUCACACUGAUGGAGGAUGGGAAAAGUCAAAUCUGGGAUCACCAUCAACAGUCAUGGUAUUCAGAGGAAUAUAAUGCAAGGAUUUGCAGCUGAAUCAUAACGUGAGGAGCAGCAUUGUAAUGUAAUCCUUCUCAUAUAAUACUGUUAUAUACCUACUGACUACUUGAAGCACUUUAGAUUAAAAGUCCCAUUUUAACUGUGGAUUCAAACAACAGUUUAUUCAAUAAAAGUUCAUUCAUUUCUUCGAAAAGGUGUAAUUCCAGAUUAAAGUUACAGUACACUAAUAAGAUUCACAAAACAGAUUCACUGAAUGUUAUUUAUUAUAAUUACAGAAAGGCUCCAAGUGAAUCAUCUUCAAUUCCAAGUACUAGUACCUUGUAAUAUAGGCAGAAAUAAUCAUGUGAUUGGCGUAAAGGUCUGUGUAGUGAUGAGUUUGGGCGGGAGGGGCAGUGAUGUGUGGUGAGAGUACAGCAGACUGAAAAAGGUUUGUUUCAAGGUAAGUCUAAUCAAAAUCAUGUUUCAUUUUUUU